GCACUGCUGAAGUGUCCCAUAAUAGGACGAAACGGCCGUCCAGUGA
rnacentral:hammerhead_ribozyme from 1 species